rnacentral:rRNA from 1 species
AAAUUGAAGAGUUUGAUCAUGGCUCAGAUUGAACGCUGGCGGCAGGCCUAACACAUGCAAGUCGAGCGGUAACACAGAGAGCUUGCUCUCGGGUGACGAGCGGCGGACGGGUGAGUAAUGUCUGGGAAACUGCCUGAUGGAGGGGGAUAACUACUGGAAACGGUAGCUAAUACCGCAUAACGUCGCAAGACCAAAGAGGGGGACCUUCGGGCCUCUUGCCAUCAGAUGUGCCCAGAUGGGAUUAGCUAGUAGGUGGGGUAACGGCUCACCUAGGCGACGAUCCCUAGCUGGUCUGAGAGGAUGACCAGCCACACUGGAACUGAGACACGGUCCAGACUCCUACGGGAGGCAGCAGUGGGGAAUAUUGCACAAUGGGCGCAAGCCUGAUGCAGCCAUGCCGCGUGUAUGAAGAAGGCCUUCGGGUUGUAAAGUACUUUCAGCGGGGAGGAAGGUGUUGAGGUUAAUAACCUCAGCAAUUGACGUUACCCGCAGAAGAAGCACCGGCUAACUCCGUGCCAGCAGCCGCGGUAAUACGGAGGGUGCAAGCGUUAAUCGGAAUUACUGGGCGUAAAGCGCACGCAGGCGGUCUGUCAAGUCGGAUGUGAAAUCCCCGGGCUCAACCUGGGAACUGCAUUCGAAACUGGCAGGCUAGAGUCUUGUAGAGGGGGGUAGAAUUCCAGGUGUAGCGGUGAAAUGCGUAGAGAUCUGGAGGAAUACCGGUGGCGAAGGCGGCCCCCUGGACAAAGACUGACGCUCAGGUGCGAAAGCGUGGGGAGCAAACAGGAUUAGAUACCCUGGUAGUCCACGCCGUAAACGAUGUCGACUUGGAGGUUGUGCCCUUGAGGCGUGGCUUCCGGAGCUAACGCGUUAAGUCGACCGCCUGGGGAGUACGGCCGCAAGGUUAAAACUCAAAUGAAUUGACGGGGGCCCGCACAAGCGGUGGAGCAUGUGGUUUAAUUCGAUGCAACGCGAAGAACCUUACCUACUCUUGACAUCCAGAGAACUUUCCAGAGAUGGAUUGGUGCCUUCGGGAACUCUGAGACAGGUGCUGCAUGGCUGUCGUCAGCUCGUGUUGUGAAAUGUUGGGUUAAGUCCCGCAACGAGCGCAACCCUUAUCCUUUGUUGCCAGCGGUUCGGCCGGGAACUCAAAGGAGACUGCCAGUGAUAAACUGGAGGAAGGUGGGGAUGACGUCAAGUCAUCAUGGCCCUUACGAGUAGGGCUACACACGUGCUACAAUGGCGCAUACAAAGAGAAGCGACCUCGCGAGAGCAAGCGGACCUCAUAAAGUGCGUCGUAGUCCGGAUUGGAGUCUGCAACUCGACUCCAUGAAGUCGGAAUCGCUAGUAAUCGUAGAUCAGAAUGCUACGGUGAAUACGUUCCCGGGCCUUGUACACACCGCCCGUCACACCAUGGGAGUGGGUUGCAAAAGAAGUAGGUAGCUUAACCUUCGGGAGGGCGCUUACCACUUUGUGAUUCAUGACUGGGGUGAAGUCGUAACAAGGUAACCGUAGGGGAACCUGCGGUUGGAUCACCUCCUUACCUUAAAGAA